UGUAGGAAAAUAUUAGUUCAUUGCUAUAAAAAUAUGCCUAUUUGCUACGUUAUUUUCUUAGUAAUCUGUUCUUGUAAAGCACAUGAUUACUUGAAUGGUGAUAAAGUUUUCAAUAGACAGAAACUAGAAAGUUUACUUCAAAAGUACAUGAAACCAAUUAAAAAAUUAUCAGAACAGUUUCCGAAUCGCGAGAUCGAACUGCAAUUUGAAAUAGAUGGGAACAAAGGUCAUAUUGUAGCUUCGCC